rnacentral:rRNA from 1 species
AAUGAACGCUGGCGGCGUGCUUAACACAUGCAAGUCGCGGGAGAAAGUCUUCGGAUGAGUAAACCGGCGCACGGGUGAGUAACACGUGGAUAAUCUUCCCUCAGGCUCGGAAUAACUCGGCGAAAGCCGGGCUAAUACCGGAUAAGACCACGCAACGAGAGUUGAGUGGGAAAAAGGGGCGGGACCUCUUCGGAGGCCGUUCACCAGAGGAUGAGUCCGCGGCCCAUCAGCUAGUUGGCGGGGUAAUGGCCCACCAAGGCUAAGACGGGUAGCUGGUCUGAGAGGACGACCAGCCACACUGGAACUGAGACACGGUCCAGACUCCUACGGGAGGCAGCAGUGGGGAAUCUUGCGCAAUGGGGGAAACCCUGACGCAGCAACGCCGCGUGGGUGAUGAAGGUCUCGGAUCGUAAAAGCCCUGUCGGAGGGAAACGAUGGCUUCGUUGGCUAAUAUCCAACGAAGUUGACGGUACCUCAAAGGAAGCACCGGCUAACUCUGUGCCAGCAGCCGCGGUAAGACAGAGGGUGCAAGCGUUGUUCGGAAUUAUUGGGCGUAAAGCGCGCGUAGGCGGCCGAUUAAGUCGUAUGUGAAAAGCCCAGGGCUCAACCCUGGAAGUGCAUGCGAUACUGAUUGGCUAGAGUCCUGGAGAGGGUGGUGGAAUUCCGUGGUGUAGAGGUGAAAUUCGUAGAUAUCAGGAGGAACACCGGUGGCGAAGGCGACCGCCUGGACAGGUACUGACGCUGAGGUGCGAAAAGCGUGGGGGAGC